CUGCAGCUAAUGAAACUGACCAUGCUUCUUUCCUCAGGGACCUGGUGUGCAGUGGCUGCAAACAGCAGCCUCCUUGGUAGUAUAUGCAGCCUGUUGCUUGUAUGGGUUGCUUGAAGGCACCUUGGAGACAUUC